AAAUGCGCUACGGGGAACAAUAAAAACAGCGCGGGGGUAGCGUUGCCGGCACGCUUUCGGCGUGCCGGCAGCGGUUGUCUGCAUGCACGACGGGGCCAACAUCACAACAAGCCACCAUGCAGGCACGUACGCCCAUUCGAUGGGCGUUCCGCCGUCCGGCCGGGGCAAGCAGACGCGGGCGGCGGCGGACGCAUUUUUCAU
rfam:Burkholderia pseudomallei strain K96243, chromosome 1, complete sequence.